CCCUACGGGGCGCAGCAGUAGGGAAUCUUCCACAAUGGACGAAAGUCUGAUGGAGCAACGCCGCGUGAGUGAAGAAGGGUUUCGGCUCGUAAAGCUCCGUUGGUAGUGAAGAAAGAUAGAGGUAGUAACUGGCCUUUAUUUGACGGUAAUUACUUAGAAAGUCACGGCUAAAUACGUGCCAGCAGCCGCGGUAAUACGUAGGUGGCAAGCGUUGUUCGGAUUUAUUGGGCGUAAAGCGAGUGCAGGCGGGUCAAGUAGGCUGAUUUG
rnacentral:rRNA from 1 species